rnacentral:rRNA from 1 species
AUACGGAGGGUCCAAGCGUUAUCCGGAAUCAUUGGGUUUAAAGGGUCCGCAGGCGGUCAAUUAAGUCAGAGGUGAAAGCCCAUCGCUCAACGAUGGAACUGCCCUUGAUACUGGUUGACUUGAGUUAUACGGAAGUAGAUAGAAUAAGUAGUGUAGCGGUGAAAUGCAUAGAUAUUACUUAGAAUACCGAUUGCGAAGGCAGUCUACUACGUAUAUACUGACGCUGAGGGACGAAAGCGUGGGGAGCGAACAGGAUUAGAAACCCUAGUAGUCC